ensembl:miRNA
UCCCCAUUUUCACAGGCCAUGAGCCCCGAAACACCCAUCCUAGGAUUGCUGAUGGGUGUUUCAGGGCUCAUGGCCUGUGUAAAUGGGGA